CACUCGACAAUGUUUGUGAAUACUUUAAAAUGCUUGAAGCCAUACUUGAUGCCUUCCAUAACGUGUAAAGUAAGAAGUUAGCCUGUGUUAAAAAGUGGUGAUCCCUGCAGAUUACCAAGGCAUCCAGUCUCCCAGCAAGUGCCAAGAGGCAUUCAUUCAAUGCUCCGCUGACACCAAUUUGCCCAAAGUUCACACAGCAAGAAGCCAAGGACCCACCGAGGCUGUCACUUGGAAGAGGUCAUUGUUGUUGCAUCCAGCAUCCCAGCCUGACUGCCUAGACAGGUCCCGCAGGUUGCUGAAUGGCAGAGGUGCAGGCUGCUCCACAGCAAGAUGUGAGACCAGUGUGGCAGAGUAUGAUGUGUACACAAUGAGGGACACACUGUAGCCAACCCAGUAGAUUACCCGUGCUGCAGUGCUGAUUGGGUCCUCACCUUGUUGUAGGAGAGCUGACAACAUGUACCAGCCAGCAGCAACUCCCAUGCUAACAGGCUUCUCCCCCGUGGGUAUGUAGCACCUCUGGAGUCGCUCGAUGAAGAAGAGGAUGCUGGCGAGGCCUGUCGUGUUAGCCGGGAUGCGCCGGUACAGAGCUGUGUCCGUUGGGGUUGUGUAGGCAAGCAUCUUCUUGGCAAGGUCCCUCGUAGGUGGCCGCAAACAGUUUACGGCUGUGGGAUGAGAACUUGUCUUGUGAAUGUGACGUUGGGAGGAGGGAAGCACAGGGGAGGAGGAGGACGAGGAGGAAGAGAGUGAAGAGUCACAAGAGGAGGAGGAAGGUGGAAAGAAAGAGGAAGGAGAGGAGGAGGAGUGAGGAGGAGGAGGAGGAGGAAGAUGGAGAAGGAAAGGAGAAAGAUAAGAAGGAAGGCAAUGUAGAAUGGAGGCGUCCUUGGUUUAUGUUCAGUAAAGCCCCGUAUUCUUGUCAUGGCAAUGUAGAAUGGAGGCGUCCUUGGUUUAUGUUCAGUAAAGCCCUGUAUUCUUGUCAUGGCAAUGUAGAAUGGAGACGUCAUUGGUCACAUACUGUUCUAAUGUAUGUGCACUUGCCACGCUGUUCACCAGGCAAAAGGCGUUGCAGAAAGAGCGCGAGAUCACUGUGUUGUGGGAGAAGACAGAGUCCCUUAGUGGUCAGCUGGUGACGGUCCACAACCACAGCCACUUUGAAGAGAAUGGCCUGAGCCACGACCACCUUGCUCAAGAAAAUAUCACGUUGACAGAGCUGAUUAAACAACUAGAAGAUAAGCUCAAACUUUCAAAGGUACCACAAGUGUCUUUGUAUAUUAGUUUGGUUUACUUUGUAAGAUUAAUCAUUACUGAAAACAAUACAUGGAGUACGUGAGGUUGUGUGUUUGUUUAUGCAUGGAGACAGUUUCCUUAAAAAUGGGUGGAGAGUACUAUGGUGCUUUAGAUGUGGAAGGAUGAGUGGAAGGAAUGCUUGGAGUGUGCAAGGCUCAAGUGUAUGCAGAAGAGCACUGACAGGAGUGUGAGGACUACUCUGUCAUGACCGUGUCUUUAAGACAUGAACAAAUGAUGCAGUGUUGGAAUCAUGAAGGUGUAAAAAUGCAGGAUAUGGAUGGGAUGCUACAUCAGCAGCUUUUGUCAUUAAGGGUGGUAAAGUGAAAGAUUUGUUAAUCACUUUGGUCUUUAGUUGAUGCUUCUGGUGAGGCUUUCCUGUUUAAACUUGGCAUAAUAUAUAUAAAAUGAUGUGGCAUGUUAAACAAGUUAACUUACUGCCUUCUUGUGUCUUUCACAGAUAGAAUAAAAAAACAUCACAAGACAGAAUAGUGAGCUGCAUGCACUUAUCACAGAGUAUAAAGUCACUCCCUCAGAGGAAAAAGACAAGGAUGGCACGUCCUUCAUGUGAGAACUCAGAAGCUAAAUGUACAGAUACCAAGGGGAAAUUGCUGGGUCAAGUGGCUACACUGACAUCUGAGGUUAGCAGGUUGGAGAGUGAGUGCAGCAGUCUUCAGGUUCAGCUAGACUGUGAGAGGGAUAAGUAUAACAAACUGCUGGGAGAAUCUUUUGCUCAUGAAAAGUUGUCUGAAGAUGUCAUAACUGAACCAAAAGGAGAAACAACAGGAUUGGGAGGAACUGAGCUUUAACAGAAGCUGCAACAACUGCAGGAGGCUCACAGGGUCCUGGAGAGCAGGUUAACUUGCAGCAUGAAGGAGGUGGCAGAUUAGUGAUUUCUGCUGCAUCUCACACACUUCUUAUUCAAUUGCUUGCAGGAUUUGAUAUCAAAGCUGGUGCAGGAAAAGGAAGCAGAUCAUGACCUUCAGCAGCUCGAGAAGAUAAGCAGCGUCCUUAAGAGUCCAGUUGCUAUCUUUAGCAGUGUUGGAACCAGUGAGUCUAAGACAACCCACCAGCAGUGGAAAGGUGGCUGACGAGCGCCUCAAGCACUCUGAAAAGGUGGAGCAACAACAAGAAACAGAAAAUUGCAUCCAUCAUUCUUUGCCUGAGGAGGGAAUUGAUGCUCUGUUGACCCUUCACACUGAUGUCCCUCAUGAGGAGGCAGAAUAUGAAUCCUACAGAACUUGCCCAUAGAAAGACCAAAACUGUUACUGCUGCCACACUGCCACCACUUCCACUGACACCAAAAAGCCCAACUGUGCAGAGAAUCCUGGACCUCCGCAAUGAAAUGGAGUCCACCAGUCACCUGGAGCACUUUAGCCUCCAAAAGUUCCAUCCGUGUCCAUUGUGUUUGGGUAAACUUAUCACUGUAUAAGGGGACAAGUAUCAGUGUAUGGUUACUAUAUACUCAUUUGUACUUAAAGAUGUCAUGUCACAUCAUUCUCUCUCUCUCUCUCUCUCUCUCUCUCUCUCUCUCUCUCUCUCUCUCUCUCUCUCUCGUCUCUCUCUCUCUCUCUCUCUCUCUCUCUCUCUCUCUCUCUCUCUCUCUCUCUCUCUCUCUCUCUCUCUCUCUCUCUCUCUCUCUCUCUCUCUUUCUUUCUUUCUUUCUUUCUUCUUCUUUCUUUCUUUCUUUUUGCAUAUUUUACUGCUUUACAUUCCUCCCCACAGUAUUUUUUCAUCUACUUUAUGACUGCAGUAGUUUAAUCAUCCCAGUGUAUGCCGUAUCCACUCUGAAACUGUAAUUCACCAAUCAGCUCAAAUGUGUCUCUGUUUUGAUAAUCAUUAAUUUGUUUCAGCUACACAACCACUCUGAUAAGGGACAAAAUCUACUUCACCAGUCAUCUAUGUCAUACAGUCAUAUAUAUUCAUACAUAUGACAAAAUACUCUUCCUAAGACAUUUCUUAUUUUCUCUUCUCAAGUGACCUGUCCAUCUAUCUAAGGUACCACAUAACAUUUAAAUACUUACAAUAUUGCAUUUAAUUCAUGAACAUUUUUUUGUCUAUGUAGACUUGAAAUUGUAUUGCGUAUAGACUUGAAAUGUAUUGGGAGUUUUCUCUAUCUCUCAUUCUAUACCUAACACCUGUUCCUAAGAAUCCCCAGGUGAUAGCCAUGGUGACUGGCUGUGUCUCCUACUGAGUGGCUGGGGUUUUCCAAAAGUGAGGGUUGGUGUUCUAUACCAUACCAUGUGCCCUGUUUGUGUUCCUUCUCUAUCCUCUGUAUUAUAUUCUAUGUAAAGAUGGUGCUGGGGUGGGAUCUACUUCUUAUUCCCUAAAAGUGAUGAGGAGUGACACUGGGCAGCAUUAAUUUGCUCCUUAGAGAUGGCUGGGUUCCUGUGGAUGAGUGGGCCAUGCUGUGCUUUGUCAAGGAUGGUGUUUGGUAUUGUGAUGACUCUUGCCACAAUCAAGUGUCUCCCACAGAGUAGUGGAGUACCUAUGUAUGGUGUUGACCCAAGCUGUCCAGGUCUCAUCCAAUGCCUUAAUAUGAUUUAGAUGAUCAAAA